GUUCUGCGAAAUAGACAGAGAUGAAUACAACGUAUCUGUCUUUGCUGGAACAUUCAUAGUACCUAUAUAUAUGUAUAUAUGUGUCACGCAUGCGCAGAACAAAACUUUUCCUUACCCUCCAUGUUGAUUUUAUUUAACUCAAACGACGGAUGGUUUCAUCAAUGCUUCCACUAUGGAAACUCCAGAUCUGUUUAUAUGAUCGUGUUAUAUAUACAUAAGAUCAUAUACAUAGGUGUACAGGUCUGGACAACCGUAGUUUGGCGUGGUUUGGACACUCCUAUAUUGAAAGCAUAGAGACAAGUGUCCGCCAAAUGAAGACAAAGAAAUCAAUAUGGCGUCGAUAUCAGAUAUUGUUCUACACAUGCGCAAGAUAUUGCGGUUCUUUUGAAAUAUAAUUAAAAUUCACUAGCUAGUUAUUUUAUAUUAUUAAAACAAUUAUAAUAAAUCCAAUCUAUGCCGCAAAUACCUUAGUAACGAGUGUUGUUAUAAACGAAAUAUUUACUGAGGAGGAUAUAUAACUUUUGUAUGCAAAGACGAAAUUCUUACGUUACAUUAAAAUACUCUUGCUCCUACGUUUUCGAUAUAGGAGUGUUCAGAUCUGUUUGUACGACUGUGGUUUAAACACGGAAUAAAUCGUUUUCCUUUGUAUUAGAAACGGUUAAAGGAAAAAAUACAUUUAAUCUCAGUUUGUAAUUUAAAAUAGAUUUAAAGUAAAAUAGCAAUUUUCCAAUAAAGUACAAAACAUUUAAUGCCGCAAAUUGACGUAAAAACUAUAGAGCAAGGUUUUUUAGUGGAGAUCGAAAUGUAGCAAACACAAAGUUUGUCUUGGAAUUUUAUAAAUAAUUGUAAAUAAUUGCCAUUAUAAAUUGAUUAAAAUUUAAUUUUAGAAGCAUAGUUCAAUCCUGCUGUGGAACACCUUCGAUUUUAAAAGUGGAAAAUCAAAUGUGAUAAACGUAAGAAGAUUGAACAACGUAAAAAGAAACGAUCCUUUACAGCUAGAAUUCUUUGUUAUAAAAUAUAUUUACCAACUACAACAGAUACACCAACCAAUAAAGUUACUUCAACAGUUAAAUCUUUUCCAAACCAAGCAACAAUAAUGGCAGAGAAGAGAUUAAUGUAUAAAAUAAAUGAGAAGAAAUUUUAAAGCUCUGCCAUAGUCGCCUAAUAUACUAUUAUUUGGCAGUGUAAAGUAUAUCAUUUUAAUAUUUCGCCCUUUUUAUCUUUUUCUCUGUAUUUGGUGGACUUACAGUUUUAGAUGGGUUCCGAACCACCAGAAAUAAAUAAGACCAUCAGAAAUGCUAAAAAUAAGCACAAUACAACUACUAAUAAAUCAAGUUUCAGAGGCAAUCGUGCCGUGAGCAACUGAAAAUUCGAAACCUGGCUUAAUCGGUCACGAGUACAAGCCUUAGUCAAUCUAGCCAGGGCGACUCUAGUAUUGAGAAAUAAAAUUUGUAAAAUAUAGGGAUAAACAUUUAUGAUUUGUCGCACGAAUCAGCAGUUGCAGGAAAAUCGGAAACGGAAAUAUCUUUUUAUUUCUGGUAGAUUAAUAUCGGUAAAGUAUGAAAUUUGAAAGGAAUUGAUUCUGAUAUACCGACCUGGAAAAAAUGAGGCUGUUUUUUACGCCCUCUAUGAUUCGCUAUAGCGAACAUAGGAACUAUGUACAUAAACAGGCUUGAUAUGCAAUCCUUUUUCGUAUCCUACGUUUUGGCGUACAUCUGACUCAUUGCCAUUUUUAUGUCACAUGCGACAUUAUCGAUUCAAUAUAGCUGUUUGAAUUAUAAAACUAAUAGAUAAUCUUCUAGAAAAUUAUAAAUAAAAUAUGAAAAGGAUAUUCUACAAUCGCAAAGGAAGUAUAGAAUUUUAUACUUAUAAAUACCUCUGCCCCAGACAAUCUCAAUACAAUUUAUGGAUAACUCAAAUAGACAAAUUACGCCCAAUAAAAAGAGCAAAAGACCAACGAAAUAAACAGAAAUAUCAACAAAAACUUGCUUCUGUGAAUAAGUAUAUCGAUCAAGUACAUAAACCUUCAUAAAUAUGCUAAGAUUAAGGUUUAAGUCUUACGUGAUAUCUUGAGCGAUAUUUUACAUCCUACACAAUGUCUUCUGCUAUCUUGCAAUAUCCCACAGAGUCCCAUGAUAAAUAUUAUUUCUUGCCUAAUGAAGAAAGAAUUUUGGAAAGAUAUACACAUUAUAAAAGAUUAUACGUAUAAAAAUGUAUAUAUAUGUUUUAUAUGUAAAAUAUACAAUUAUAUAUAUUUGUAUAUGCGAUAGACUCUGGACUACAGCA